AAGCGAAAGGAAUCAUUGAUCUAGGACCUCCAAAGUUUUCGGCCUCAUCAACAAAACAAUAAUCUAAAAAUGGACCCUUUGCAAUAUAACAAAGCCUUCAUGAACUCUAAUUUUUUAAAAUGUUUUGUCAUUUCUUUGAUAACUAGUCCAAAAAAUACCAGAACAAUCUUUUCUUGCGUUUGGACUCCUUAAAUAUCAAGACCGGCUCUAGUGGAAAUAUAAUUAGUAGUAAGGAUUAGAUAAAUUUUCUUAUGAGUUAUUGUGUUUAUUCGACUUUAAUGAUAAACUAGAUGAGUACCCGCACUACGUGCGGGUUUAUGUAUUACUAUUUACAAAUUGUUUUAUAUAAUGUUUGUUCAUAUAACAUAAAGUAAAGUUGAAUGCAUCGGUUUUGAAACAUAAAUAUGAUUUGUAAUUGUUUUUGAAAAGUCCAACUAUAUUAGUUCAUAUGAAAAACGAAUAUGCUUGAGUUGUUUUUUUUUAUUGUUGUUCUAGAUUCUCAGUUUUUUUAAAAUUUAUAUAUCCUUGUUUUUUUUGUUAUAUGUUUAGAUUGUGGGACGGUGAAAUUUUAGAAAAUUUGUUUC
rnacentral:sRNA from 1 species